rnacentral:rRNA from 1 species
GAGUUUGAUCAUGGCUCAGGACGAACGCUGGCGGCGUGCCUAAUACAUGCAAGUCGAACGAACGGAGAAAGAAGCUUGCUUUUUUCAAAGUUAGUGGCGAACGGGUGAGUAACACGUGGGUAACCUGCCCAUCAGAGGGGGAUAACAUUCGGAAACGGAUGCUAAAACCGCAUAGGUUCCUUAGUUGCAUGACUGAGGAAGGAAAAGAGGCGUAAGCUUCUGCUGGUGGAUGGACCCGCGGUGCAUUAGCUAGUUGGUGAGGUAACGGCUCACCAAGGCGAUGAUGCAUAGCCGACCUGAGAGGGUGAUCGGCCACAUUGGGACUGAGACACGGCCCAAACUCCUACGGGAGGCAGCAGUAGGGAAUCUUCCGCAAUGGACGCAAGUCUGACGGAGCAACGCCGCGUGAGUGAAGAAGGUUUUCGGAUCGUAAAACUCUGUUGUUAGAGAAGAAUAAGCAUAAUAGUAACUGAUUAUGCCGUGACG